rnacentral:rRNA from 1 species
GAGAGUGGGUAGUCCGCACGAGCGCACCCUAUCCUUAGUUGCCAGCACAUUAUGGUGGGGACUCUAAGGAGACUGCCUGGGAUAACUAGGAGGAAGGUGGGGAUGAUGUCAAGUCAGUAUGUCCCUUAUGCUCAGGGCUACACACGUGUUACAAUGGUUGGUACAGAGGGUCGCGAAGCCGCAAGGUGGAGCCAAUCCCCCAAAACCAACCCCAGUUCGGAUUGGAGUCUGCAACUCGACUCCAUGAAGCAGGAAUCGCUAGUAAUCGUGGAUCAGAACGCCACGGUGAAUACGUUCCCGGGUCUUGUACACACCGCCCGUCACGCCAUGGAAGUCAGUAGUACCCGAAUCGAGUGGCUCAACCUUCGGGAGGGAGCUCGUUAAGGUAAGAUUGGUAACUGGGGCGAAGUCGUAACAAGGUAGCCGUACCGGAAGGUGCGGCUGGAUCACCUCCUUUU